UCUCAUUUCCUUUGAACUCACUCUAUAAACUGGUCCUUCUCUACUUCUGGAUGAUGUUUUGGGAGAGCAUGAAUUCCUUUACAUUCACAUUUAAGGAAUGUGAUUACAUUUAAGGAAUUAAAAUGUCCAGGACAGUGUAAUAGACACACUAACUCCAAAUUUCCUUCAAUUGAAAACACCAUCAUACUAGCUGAUGUUUCUGAGCCCAGAGAGGGCAGGAUUUGGUGGGGAAAAGUUUUCCUGGGAGGCACAUCUAUGAUCUAUCUUUAUUGCCUCUGGAUGUGUAGGGCCCAAAGGUUUCUGGCUCUUUCUAGUAAAUGUCUGGUAUCCCUCAGAGGUCCUCCCCCCUCAUGGAGGCUCCCUGUAUUUGACCAGGGGUGUGGAGGUCUAGAGGGUUCACUCUUACUGACUGAAGUUCUCUCAGCUUGAGGACAUUCUCUCACCAUCCACUCCCUCUGGUAGGCUCACUUCUUCACUUCAGGCUGGAUCUCUUCCAUUCAAGUUCACAUCUGGUCCCUGGAGAACACGGACCAUUAGAAGUAAAAGCGCAGAAACCUCUUUGUAGGUGAGCUUCAAGCAGUCUCGCAAUGAUAGGCUUUUUGGUGACAGUCAGACUGAGCAGUCCUUUUUCUUUUCUUUUCUUUUUUUUUUUUUUUUUUGGUUUUUAGGGCCACACCAUGGCAUAUGGAGGUUCCCAGGCUAGGGGUCUAAUUGGAGCUAUAGCUGCCUGCCUAUACCAGAGCCACAGCAAUGCCAGAUCUGAGCCACAUCUACGAACUACACCACAGCUCAGGGCAAUGCCAGAUCUUUAACCCACUGAACGAGGCCAGGGAUCAAACCCACAACCUCAUGGUUCCUAGUCGGAUUUGUUUCCACAGCGCUGCAGUGGAAACUCUCCUUUUACUUUUCUUAAGCUUCCUUUAACAUACCCAGUUUUCUUUUCUGAAUGGUUCUCCUUUCAGCAUUUCUAAUUUGGUUUUGAUGGGGAAGAAACCACACUCUUCCUUCUGCCAUGGGCGGGAAUGCGGGUCUUGAAUAUUUACAACUCUCCAAAUAAAUCCUUUCUCUCAAGACCUCUCUACCACAGCUCUUUUAUAUGCUCAAAGUACGUGAUAGGAAAAUGUUGGAAAAUGAAUUUAUAAUCUCUUGGGGUCUCCAGUAUGAGCUAAUCUCUUGCUUUAGGAUAUUCUGUAACAUUUUCGGACACCUAUCAUAUUGUUUUUAUGGCCAUUGUCUCAGUCAAAAUUGUUAUUUGGACACUAUUUAUAAUACUAACUAACAUAUAUGUACAUGAAUUUCACAAACUUCUUAUUUGGAGGCAGGUUGGUAUAAAAAGAAGUAUUUUGGACAGAAUUUGGUUCAGAUUUGAAUUCUGCCACUUAGUAACUCUGAAGCAUUAUUCCUCACCUAUUAAACAUAGGUAUCUAACUUCGCAGCAUUUUGAAAACAAAACUAGAUAAUACAUGAAUGUAAUAACAUCUCUGACUCUUUGUGGGGGGUCCUCAAAUCCACUUCUAUAAUCCCUCUCAAGUGUCUGUGAGGUAGACAUUGUGGCUACCAGUCUCCAAUGACAUUAAUCAGGAAUCAAAGGACAGGCCUUUCUCAAACACAGACCUUCUCACUUCAAGUGUCACCCUUCUGUACACAUCCGCUUGCCUUUAUAUAAGAAUGCCUGAGAUUGCGAUAAAUGCUUCAGACAAACAUCUUUCCCCAGUGGAUAUUUGUAGUCUGUAAAACAUAGUAGAGAUGAUGGAAGACACACUUCUCCACCAGCUCAGAUAUUUCCUUGGUGGCUUAGAAAUGCAUCACGCAUCCCGACUGAGCCAAUUUGUGUUCAGAAUUUUACUUAGUUAGCAAAUUCCCAAUAAUUUGAAAAUCAGUCAAGACUCACUUCACAGCUCUGGGGAACGACUGCUGAUGACUAUAUUUAUGGAGACUAGUGUACAGGGAGAAUGAUCGAGUAUUUGUCAAGUUCCAAACACCACCAUUAAAGUGUAUAAAUUAGUUUUGCACUCAGAACGUUCAAAAUUGCCACAUUUGUAGGUGUCUGCAUCCAACAAAGUAAAAAAGAAAUUGGUCUCAGAGGCUUACUUAUUUAUACCAUGCAUGUAUCUAUAGGUUUACAGAUUUUAAAAAACAGAUUGAGAUGGUGGCACAUGUUGCAAGUGCCCUUUGAUUCCCCCUUUAAGAAAGGACUAGCUGUCCAGAUGUGCACUUGGCUGGCAGCUGGCAGCUAUUAACUCCAUGUCCACCUCAACUUUGGGUCGGGGCACACAUGCUUUUUAGGGUGGCCCCAGCCAUUAAACUUCUUUACAGUGAAACAUGCAAGAAAAGAACUCAAGCUCACAAUCCUAUAGAUCUUUUGCAUUUUUCCAGUCUUUGCAGUUGUCUCACCCACAAUUAGUUCGACAGCAAUUUUUAGAGCUCAUUCAUCACUACUGUUGUUCUAAAGCAUUUAACUUAGUUUUCUUAAAAACAACAGUUGUCUCUUUUCACACUCUUACUUAGCUUUAUGUGAUAUUUAUAUUACAUAAUUACUAAAGCAAGAGCCAAGUGACCCAGUCAUACAUAUAUAUCCACCAUUUUUCUCAUAUUAUCUUCCACCAUGUUCUAUCCCAAGAAGUUGGAUAUAGUUCCCUGUGCUAUACAAUAGGAUCUCAAUAUUGUAAAUCAAGUAUCCUUUUUUAAAUUAUUUUUAUUUUUUCCAUUAUAGCUGAUUUACAGUGUUCUAUAAAUUUUCUACUGCACAGCAAGGUGACCCAGUCACACACACAUAUAUACAUUCUUUUUCUCACAUUAUCGUACUCCAUCAUAAAUAACCAGAUAGAGUUCCCAGUGAUAUACAGAAGGAUCUCAUUGCUUAUCCAUGUAAAUCAACCAUACUUUAAUUUAAAAAUUAAUUUUUUGGAGUUCCUGUCAUGGUUUAGCAGUUAACGAACCCAACUAGUAUCCAUGACGAUGCAGGUUUGAUCCCUGGCCUCACUCAUCGGGUUAAGGAUCCUGUGUUGCCACAAGCUGUGGUGUAGGUCACAGAUGUGGCUGGGAUCUGGCAUUGCUAUGGCUGUGGCAUAGGCCAGUGGCUACAACUCUGAUUGGAUCCCUAUCCUGCAAACCUCCAUGUGCUAUGGGUGUGGCCCUAAAAAGACAAAUAAAUAAAUAAACAUUGAUUUUUUUUAAAAAAAGCUCUACCUAGAACAAAAAUAAAUGGGAAAAAAAAAGAGAAAUUGGUAUCAAAUGAUUUGGGAACAAACACUUAUUAGGCAGGUGUACUUGUCAUAGUGCUGUUUAAACUUUAAUGUGUUUACAAAUAACCUGGGGGCUCAUUAAAACACAGACUCCUAUUCAGCAGGUCUGAGGAUGAAACACAAAAAUCUGCACUUCUAACAAGGUGAGACCAGGUAACUACCCAAUUGAUACCAAUGCUUUUGGUCCUCAACCAUACUUUCUUGCGUACCUUCCAGCCAUGAGCACUCAGCAUGUGAUGGGCAUCUGCGUGCAUGCCUCAUGGAGGGAAGGAGGACAUGGCUUCAUCUGGAAAAUUAGUAGAGUUUCCCCAAUAAUGAUAAAUGAGGUUGUACUUUGGUCACAUGCUAUGCCAAGUGCUUUAUAUGCAUUACUUCUUCUAAUCCCCUUAAACACCAUACCAAAGAAGAUAUUAUUUCCAUUUUAUGGGUCACAAAAGUAAGACUUGGGCAGCUAACUUGCUCAAUAUCACACAACUAGUAGGUAGCAAGAGACAUUCUGACCAGGAGAGAGCAGCUAUUCUUAUUUUCAGUUAAGAUUUUAAAAGUCUAUCAAAUGCAAGGGAAUGUACCAGUCCACAGAGAAGACCCACCCACCUCACACCUUCUUUAGAUCACAGUUCAAGGAAUUUUCCCAAAAGGAUUAUGAAGCAAAAGAGAGAAAAUGCACAAAGUGUUCAAAUUCUGACUUCUGAACAGACUCUGGGGGAAGAAACCCAUGGCAUACUUCAUUUGCCAAAAGCACAGUUCUUAUCCUUAUUAAUAGAAAUGCUUUUCAUGCUUGAUAUGCUAUCUUACUUAUUAAUUUAUAAGGUCUGUGGAUUUUUGAGGGUUCAUAAAUCAAGCAUAUACAUCACAUUAGCCCUAAAAUGGAUGCAAUGUCAAAAUUACAAAUAUAAGUAUGCAACCAAACCCAAAUUGAGCUUUACUGAAUCCUAAAUAUUUACAAAGUUGCUGACGAUCCAGCCCUUUAAAUAUACGGAAGAGAUUCCCUUCUUUAAAAGGAGGGUCAUGUUUAUAUUUUAUCCUAUUCUUUGAAUCACUAUUUUACCACACAGUAAACUAGGACUAUGAGCCAAGAAAAUAGAACCCAGAGGUUUUUACAUCAUUCUUCCUGAACAAGAGUACAACUCCAAACAAUUUUCGAUUCCACUAAAAUUUUCUGCUUUAGACACAUUAAUUGCUAAUUGACAGAAUUUUAAAGAAUAAAUGUAACUUCAUAACGCACUCUCAGAGGAAAACAUUUUGCAUGUGGUAAUUUCAAUCUGUUAGGUAUUUGUGGCAAGUCUUACUAAGCUUGACAAAUAUCUGAGUGCUGACCAGGGGUUAAAGAAUAAUGAUGCUGUACCAAGAGACCUCACAUCUGUUGGAGCAACGGAGAGUCCUGCAUGCUUGAUUCUGGAUCUGCUACAACCCACCAAAUCUCUCACUCUCUUUCUUCAAAAAAUGAAGUCACUUGAGGAAAACAGAAGAAAAAUAAAAUUUUGUGUCUAAAAUUUUUAAAAUUAUAAUUUACAAAUAACACUUCCAAAGGUUAUUCUUUUCUUGAAGAACAAAGGUUUCUUUCAGCAAAAAAAACAGUGACAGAAAAACCUGAGGUCAGGUGGAGCUUGCUUUAAGGAUCAUGAAUUAAGAGUCUGAAUACCAGUAUUCUCACCUCAACUCUGGCACAUGCUAUGUCUUGGUUUCUGCAUCUGAAAUGAAGCUCUUUCUCACUUUAUAAUACUAAGAACAUGUGAACAAUUUCCUUAGGAAUGAUGAAAGCUCAAAAAAUAUAAAUACAACAAUUGCAUUACACAUAACUUUUCAGAGGUUAUGAAUCAAAGAAAAUUAUCCACAUUAUAUAUCGAAAAGGGCCACUAAAAUACACUACCACUUUCUAGCACAUAUCUGUGUGAGUCUAGAUUUUCUUCAUACACUUCAGCCAAAAGCAAUGUAAUUCAAAAAACUGAAGGCAGAGCAGAUAAAAGAAUUCAAUUUUCUUCACUAAGCCAGUCACUAAUGUGAUAUAUGCAAAAAUGUAAACAAAUGCCACUCUUCUCACUAAAUGUUAUUUUGUUUGGAAAAUCACUCAGAUUUGUACUUCAGCAAACUACAUAUUUUUUAUCUUUGGGUUGCUUCUGAGUGGUCUAAAUGGGAUGUUUUAAAGUCUAACAUGUCAAUGCGAUGGUAGAUGGAAUUGGUUCCCUAAUUUCUCUUUUUGAUCUUUCAUUGUCAGUGUAUAGAAAUGCCGUCGAUUUCUGUGUAUUAAUUUUGUAUCCUGCACCUUUGCCAAAUUCAUGGAUGAGCUCUAACAGUUUUCUGGCAGUCUUUAGGAUUCUCUAGGUAUAGUAUCAUGUCAUCUGCAAAUUAGUGAUAGUUUUACUUCUUCCUUUCCAUUGUGGAUUCCUUUUAUUUCUUUCACUUCUCUGAUUGCUGUGGCUAGGACUUCCAAAACUGUGUUGAAUAGUAGUGGCGAGAGCAGACAUCCUUGUCUUGUUCCUGAUCUCAGUGGGAAUUCUUUUAGCUUUUCACCAUUGAGAAUGAUGUUAGCUGUAGGUUUGUCAUAUAUGGCCUUUAUUAUGUUGAGGUAGGUUCCCUCUAUGCCCACUUUCUGAAGGGUUUUUAUCAGAAAUGGGUGUUGGGUUUUGUCAAAGGCUUUUUCUGCGUCUAUUGAGAGGAUCAUACGGUUUUUAUUCUUCAGUUUGUUAAUGUGGUAUAUCACUGAUUGAUUUUCAGAUAGUGAAGAAUCCUUGCAUCCCUGGGAUAAAUCCCACUUGAUUGUGAUGUACAAUCCUUUUAAGGUAUUGUUGGAUGCAGUUUGCUAGUAUUUUGUUGUAUCCAAAAGAAUAAAAUAUCUAGGAGUAAACCUACCUGAAGAAACAAAAGACCUGUACUCUGAAAACUAUAAGACACUGAUGAAAGAAAUCAAAGUAGACACAAACAUAUGGAAAGACAUACGGUGCUCUUGGAUUGGAAGAGUUACUAUAAUCAAAAUGACUAUACUAUCUAAGAUAAUCUACAGAUUCAAUGAAAUCCCUAUCAAAUUACUAAGGACAUUUUUCACAGAACUUGAACAAAAUACUUUAAAGUUUGUUUGGAAGUGCAAAAGACCCUGAAUAGCCAAAGACAUCCUGAGAAAGAAAAAUGGAGCUGGAGGAAUCAGGCUCCUGGGCUUCAGACUAUACUACAAAGCAACAAUCAUCAAAACUGUAUGGUACUGGCACAAAGACAAACAUAGAAACAUAGAUCAUGGAACAGGAUAGAAAGCCCAGAAUUAAACCCAACUGAUCUAUGACAAAGGAGGAAAGAACAUACAAUGGAAAAAAUAAGUGGUGCUGGGAAAACAGGACAGCCACAUGGAAAAGGAUGAAAUUAGAACACUCCCUAACACCAUACACAAAAAUAAACUCAAAAUGGAUUAAAGACCUAAAUAUAAAAUCAGAUACCAUAAAACUCUUAGAGGAAAACAUAGGCCAAACACUCUCCAACAAAAACCACAGCAACAUCUUCUCAGAUCCACCUCCUCGAGUAAUGACAAUAAAAACAAAAACAAACAAAUGAGACCUAAUCAAACUUAAAAGUUUCUGCACAGAAAAGGAAACCCUAAAUAAAAUGAAAAGACAACUCACAGAAUAGGAGAACAUAUUUGCAAGUGAAGCACUGACAAAGGCUUUAAUCUCCAAAAUUUAUAAAUACCUUCUG
rnacentral:lncRNA from 1 species